AUUGAACGCUGGCGGCAGGCCUAACACAUGCAAGUCGAACGAGUGGCGGACGGGUGAGUAAUGUCUGGGAAACUGCCCGAUGGAGGGGGAUAACUACUGGAAACGGUAGCUAAUACCGCAUACCAUCGGAUGUGCCCAGAUGGGAUUAGCUAGUAGGUGGGGUAACGGCUCACCUAGGCGACGAUCCCUAGCUGGUCUGAGAGGAUGACCAGCCACACUGGGACUGAGACACGGUCCAGACUCCUACGGGAGGCAGCAGUGGGGAAUAUUGCACAAUGGGCGAAAGCCUGAUGCAGCCAUGCCGCGUGUAUGAAGAAGGCCUUCGGGUUGUAAAGUACUUUUAGCGGGGAGGCGUUACCCGCAGAAGAAGCACCGGCUAACUCCGUGCCAGCAGCCGCGGUAAUAC
rnacentral:rRNA from 1 species